rnacentral:rRNA from 1 species
AAAUUGAAGAGUUUGAUCAUGGCUCAGAUUGAACGCUGGCGGCAGGCCUAACACAUGCAAGUCGAACGGUAACAGAAAGCAGCUUGCUGCUUUGCUGACGAGUGGCGGACGGGUGAGUAAUGUCUGGGAAACUGCCUGAUGGAGGGGGAUAACUACUGGAAACGGUAGCUAAUACCGCAUAACGUCGCAAGACCAAAGAGGGGGACCUUCGGGCCUCUUGCCAUCGGAUGUGCCCAGAUGGGAUUAGCUUGUUGGUGGGGUAACGGCUCACCAAGGCGACGAUCCCUAGCUGGUCUGAGAGGAUGACCAGCCACACUGGAACUGAGACACGGUCCAGACUCCUACGGGAGGCAGCAGUGGGGAAUAUUGCACAAUGGGCGCAAGCCUGAUGCAGCCAUGCCGCGUGUAUGAAGAAGGCCUUCGGGUUGUAAAGUACUUUCAGCGGGGAGGAAGGGAGUAAAGUUAAUACCUUUGCUCAUUGACGUUACCCGCAGAAGAAGCACCGGCUAACUCCGUGCCAGCAGCCGCGGUAAUACGGAGGGUGCAAGCGUUAAUCGGAAUUACUGGGCGUAAAGCGCACGCAGGCGGUUUGUUAAGUCAGAUGUGAAAUCCCCGGGCUCAACCUGGGAACUGCAUCUGAUACUGGCAAGCUUGAGUCUCGUAGAGGGGGGUAGAAUUCCAGGUGUAGCGGUGAAAUGCGUAGAGAUCUGGAGGAAUACCGGUGGCGAAGGCGGCCCCCUGGACGAAGACUGACGCUCAGGUGCGAAAGCGUGGGGAGCAAACAGGAUUAGAUACCCUGGUAGUCCACGCCGUAAACGAUGUCGACUUGGAGGUUGUGCCCUUGAGGCGUGGCUUCCGGAGCUAACGCGUUAAGUCGACCGCCUGGGGAGUACGGCCGCAAGGUUAAAACUCAAAUGAAUUGACGGGGGCCCGCACAAGCGGUGGAGCAUGUGGUUUAAUUCGAUGCAACGCGAAGAACCUUACCUGGUCUUGACAUCCACAGAACCUUGUAGAGAUACGAGGGUGCCUUCGGGAACUGUGAGACAGGUGCUGCAUGGCUGUCGUCAGCUCGUGUUGUGAAAUGUUGGGUUAAGUCCCGCAACGAGCGCAACCCUUAUCCUUUGUUGCCAGCGGUCCGGCCGGGAACUCAAAGGAGACUGCCAGUGAUAAACUGGAGGAAGGUGGGGAUGACGUCAAGUCAUCAUGGCCCUUACGACCAGGGCUACACACGUGCUACAAUGGCGCAUACAAAGAGAAGCGACCUCGCGAGAGCAAGCGGACCUCAUAAAGUGCGUCGUAGUCCGGAUUGGAGUCUGCAACUCGACUCCAUGAAGUCGGAAUCGCUAGUAAUCGUGGAUCAGAAUGCCACGGUGAAUACGUUCCCGGGCCUUGUACACACCGCCCGUCACACCAUGGGGAGUGGGUUGCAAAAGAAGUAGGUAGCUUAACCUUCGGGAGGGCGCUUACCACUUUGUGAUUCAUGACUGGGGUGAAGUCGUAACAAGGUAACCGUAGGGGAACCUGCGGUUGGAUCACCUCCUUA